rnacentral:rRNA from 1 species
UACGGAGGAUCCAAGCGUUAUCCGGAUUUAUUGGGUUUAAAGGGUGCGUGGGCGGAUUGAUAAGUUAGAGGUGAAAUGUCCGAGCUCAACUCGGGAACUGCCUCUAAUACUGUUGAUCUAGAGAGUAGAUGCGGUAGGCGGAAUGUAUGGUGUAGCGGUGAAAUGCUUAGAGAUCAUACAGAACACCGAUUGCGAAGGCAGCUUACCAAUCUAUAUCUGACGUUGAGGCACGAAAGCGUGGGGAGCAAACAGG